UCUCCUCAAACGGGACAGAGGUCUCUGGGGAAGGCAGAGCUGUGCUCUAGCAGAAAAUAACAAUGCUCAUAUUACUCCUGUGCUUGGUGACAGCCCCCCAGGUUGUCGUGUCCCAGGUGCAGCUGCAGGAGUCGGGUCCAGGACUGGUGAAGCCCUCGCAGACACUCUCCCUCACCUGUGCUGUCACCGGUUACUCCAUCACUAGUGGUUCGUGCUGGAGCUGGAUCCGCCAGCCCCCAGGGAAGGGGCUGGAAUGGAUUGGGUACAUAUGUUAUGAUGGAAGCACUUAUUACAGCCCAUCCCUCAAGAGCCGCACCUCCAUCACCAGAGACACAUCCAAAAACCAGUUCUCCCUGCAGCUGAGCUCUGUGACCAAUGAAGACACGGCUGUGUAUUACUGUGCUAGAGACACAGUGAGGGGAAGUCAUUGUUAG